rnacentral:rRNA from 1 species
GCUUAUGCGUUGUUGGGUAGGGGAGCGUUCUGUAAGCCUGUGAAGGUGGCCUGUGAGGGUUGCUGGAGGUAUCAGAAGUGCGAAUGCUGACAUAAGUAACGAUAAAGCGGGUGAAAAGCCCGCUCGCCGGAAGACCAAGGGUUCCUGUCCAACGUUAAUCGGGGCAGGGUGAGUCGACCCCUAAGGCGAGGCCGAAAGGCGUAGUCGAUGGGAAACGGGUUAAUAUUCCCGUACUUGGUGUUACUGCGAAGGGGGGACGGAGAAGGCUAUGUUGGCCGGGCGACGGUUGUCCCGGUUUAAGCGUGUAGGCUGGUUUUCCAGGCAAAUCCGGAAAAUCAAGGCUGAGGCGUGACGACGAGGCACUACGGUGCUGAAGCAACAAAUGCCCUGCUUCCAGGAAAAGCCUCUAAGCAUCAGGUAACAUCAAAUCGUACCCCAAACCGACACAGGUGGUCAGGUAGAGAAUACCAAGGCGCUUGAGAGAACUCGGGUGAAGGAACUAGGCAAAAUGGUGCCGUAACUUCGGGAGAAGGCACGCUGACACGUAGGUGAAGUGAUUUACUCAUGGAGCUGAAGUCAGUCGAAGAUACCAGCUGGCUGCAACUGUUUAUUAAAAACACAGCACUGUGCAAACACGAAAGUGGACGUAUACGGUGUGACGCCUGCCCGGUGCCGGAAGGUUAAUUGAUGGGGUCAGCGCAAGCGAAGCUCCUGAUCGAAGCCCCGGUAAACGGCGGCCGUAACUAUAACGGUCCUAAGGUAGCGAAAUUCCUUGUCGGGUAAGUUCCGACCUGCACGAAUGGCGUAAUGAUGGCCAGGCUGUCUCCACCCGAGACUCAGUGAAAUUGAACUCGCUGUGAAGAUGCAGUGUACCCGCGGCAAGACGGAAAGACCCCGUGAACCUUUACUAUAGCUUGACACUGAACAUUGAGCCUUGAUGUGUAG